UCCACAAACUCGAGUUAUGAUUAGGUGAAAGAAUAAUCUAACAUAUGUACUAAUGUGGACUAUAUCUGUUUUUCAGGUGAUGGGGGUUACGGCUGCUACUCUUGGCUCCUUACUCCAUUGUCCCAACCUGAUUCUCCUGCUGAACACAGUUACAAUCAUGCACAUAAGGCUACGCGGAAUGUGAUAGAAAGAUGUUUUGGUGUGCUGAAGUCACGGUUUCGGUGUCUGGAUAAAUCUGCUGGCCUUUUGUUGUAUAGUCCCUCAAAGAUAACUGAGGGGAUCGGGGCUCAUCACUCUGCGAACUCGCCAAUAGUGCCAGUGGUGGCUGGGGUGACACUGCCGAAAGUCGUCGCCUGGGUGGGGAUGAUGGAGCCGCAGAUUCCGAGCCAAGACGCCGUGUCUUACUUGGCCUCCUGGAAUAUGUGACUACACUGAAGUCUUACCUGCAAUCCCAGCCUCAUCCUGACUUGUCUGAGGCCUGUCUGGCCGGCUGGUCUGUGGGACUGUUGAAAAAGUGUACCAAACAUU